rnacentral:rRNA from 1 species
AAUAUUGCGCAAUGGACGAAAGUCUGACGCAGCGACGCCGCGUGUGGGAUGAAGCCUUUCGGGGUGUACACCACUGUUGCCCGGGACGAAAUGCCCUUUCGAGGGAAUUGACGGUACCGGGUGAGGAAGCACCGGCUAACUCUGUGCCAGCAGCCGCGGUAAUACAGAGGGUGCGAGCGUUGUCCGGAAUCACUGGGCGUAAAGGGCGCGUAGGUGGCUUGGUAAGCGUGUGGUGAAAGUCCGGGGCUCAACCCCGGAUCUGCCGUGCGAACUGCCGAGCUGGAGCAAUGUAGAGGCGGGUGGAAUUUCGGGUGUAGCGGUGGAAUGCGUAGAUAUCCGAAAGAACACCGGUGGCGAAGGCGGCCCGCUGGGCAUUUGCUGACACUGAGGCGCGACAGCGUGGGGAGCAAAC